AUUACAUAUCAUAAAAAUAUCAUGAGCAUCUCAUACAACAUCUUCAAUUCAAGAAAAUAGCAUGGGGAUCACAUUGAACAUAAACUUAGAACAUGGAACAGUCAUUUAGGGCUUAUUAUGUCAUAAAAGCAUGAUUUCUAUUCCCUUAGGUAUUUUCACAAACACCAUACAUGCACAUCUUAGGCAUAGAUGGAUUCAUC
rnacentral:lncRNA from 1 species